rnacentral:rRNA from 1 species
AUUGAACGCUGGCGGCAUGCCUUACACAUGCAAGUCGAACGGCAGCACGGGAGCUUGCUCCUGGUGGCGAGUGGCGAACGGGUGAGUAAUGCAUCGGAACGUGCCCUGAAGUGGGGGAUAACGUAGCGAAAGUUACGCUAAUACCGCAUAUUCUGUGAGCAGGAAAGCAGGGGACCUUAGGGCCUUGCGCUUUGGGAGCGGCCGAUGUCGGAUUAGCUAGUUGGUGAGGUAAAGGCUCACCAAGGCGACGAUCCGUAGCGGGUCUGAGAGGAUGAUCCGCCACACUGGGACUGAGACACGGCCCAGACUCCUACGGGAGGCAGCAGUGGGGAAUUUUGGACAAUGGGCGCAAGCCUGAUCCAGCCAUGCCGCGUGAGUGAAGAAG